CCUACGGGAGGCAGCAGUGAGGAAUAUUGGUCAAUGGACGAGAGUCUGAACCAGCCAAGUAGCGUGAAGGAUGACUGCCCUAUGGGUUGUAAACUUCUUUUAUAUGGGAAUAAAAUGUUCCACGUGUGGGAUUUUGUAUGUACCAUAUGAAUAAGGAUCGGCUAACUCGGUGCCAGCAGCCGCGGUAAUACGGAGGAUCCGAGCGUUAUCCGGAUUUAUUGGGUUUAAAGGGAGCGUAGGUGGAUUGUUAAGUCAGUUGUGAAAGUUUGCGGCUCAACCGUAAAAUUGCAGUUGAAACUGGCAGUCUUGAGUACAGGAGAGGUGAGCGGAAUUCGUGGUGUAGCGGUGAAAUGCUUAGAUAUCACGAAGAACUCCGAUUGCGAAGGCAGUUCACUGGACUGCAACUGACACUGAGGCUCGAAAGUGUGGGUAUCAAACAGGAUUAGAUACCCGGGUAGUC
rnacentral:rRNA from 1 species